rnacentral:rRNA from 2 species
UAGCCAUGGGCAGGUUGAAGGUUGGGUAACACUAACUGGAGGACCGAACCGACUAAUGUUGAAAAAUUAGCGGAUGACCUGUGGCUGGGGGUGAAAGGCCAAUCAAACCGGGAGAUAGCUGGUUCUCCCCGAAAGCUAUUUAGGUAGCGCCUCGUGAAUUCAUCUCCGGGGGUAGAGCACUGUUUCGGCUAGGGGGCCAUCCCGGCUUACCAACCCGAUGCAAACUGCGAAUACCGGAGAAUGUUAUCACGGGAGACACACGGCGGGUGCUAACGUCCGUCGUGAAGAGGGAAACAACCCAGACCGCCAGCUAAGGUCCCAAAGUCAUGGUUAAGUGGGAAACGAUGUGGGAAGGCCCAGACAGCCAGGAUGUUGGCUUAGAAGCAGCCAUCAUUUAAAGAAAGCGUAAUAGCUCACUGGUCGAGUCGGCCUGCGCGGAAGAUGUAACGGGGCUAAACCAUG